CUCGUGUUCUCUGUGAGUUCCACCAGUUUAAUGUUGAGAUGCGGUGCACAGUAGGUCGAGUUUCAGAUGUGGCUGAAUAAGCUCUUCUUCUUUAUGUGUGAGAUUACAUUUCAAGGACAUUGCUGUGCUACGGAUUCAAUAACAGCUUGGCAUCUGAAGAGGGGGUGAGUAGAAGGUUACGUGACGAGCCUCAUAUCACGCCUCAGAAAGUGCAGAUCCACGGGGACUUGAUGAAAUCGUAAGAUUACAAGUGUGCUCCAAAGCUUCCUUUGCCUGUUAGACGUGGGAAUGCUGCAGACCAUCAGGGAGUGUACGGUCCAUCAAGCCCACAGAACAGAGCCGGACUGGAAUUUGUCAGUUCAUGAACUGAUGGCAUUCAUUUCAAUCCUGUUUGUAAGAACAAUCAUGUGUCCUGUUGGUGCCAUUGUGGAUUGCUGGUCAGAAAGAUUUCUGGUGCCAGUAAUCAAAGAGACAAUGCCCCUAGAUAGAUUCAUUUCAAUUAUGCAACACCUUCGAUUUGAUGACAAGGACACGCGGGCAGAACGGGUGAAAACAAUUUUGCAGUGAUCUCCGACAUCUGGACACGCUUCAACAAGAACUGUGCUAAGAGUUUCACUCCAGGAGAACACAUGACCAUAGAUGAACAGCUGUUCCCUACAGAGGUUCGUUGUCCAUUCACACAGUAUAUCGCAACCAAGCCAGACAAAUUUGGGAUCAAGUUCUGGAUGGCCACGGCCUUGGACACCAAAUAUGUCUGCAGUGCAUCUCCUUAUUUGGGAAAAGACCCCAGUCGUCAGAAGGGAGAGAGGCUGGCAGAGAACGUGGUCAUGAAACUGAUGGAGCCGUUUUUGGAUGAUGGGAGAAACGUCACAACAGACAAUUUCUUUACUUCACUGUCACUGUCGCACAGACUGCUGCAGCGCAAAACGCCGUUAUGGGGCACGGUGAAUAAAGUCUGGCGUGAACUUACUCAACUUGUGCGGAUGUAUUCCAUAAGAGCAGCAGCACGCAGGUGGUCAGUAGCGGUUUUCUACAAUAUGCUGGACCUGGCGGCGGUGAAUGCCUACAUUUUGUACAAGGCAUGUACAGGGUGGACAGGCAAAAGAAGAUUGUUUCUGAGUCUUCUAGCUCAGGAACUUCGUUGCCGAUUCAUGUAGCACAAGGAAAUAUUAGCACAGACGCAGGCUGCUGAAGCUGCUGCAGCUGCUGUGCCAGGGACUGUAAAGACAACGCAGUGCCAGUGGAAUUUACGCAAAUUUACGCAGGGCUAGUAAAUCUAGUAGUAGGGACUCGCACCAGGGAAAAAAAGGCUCAGUAAUUCUAGUGUUAAGGUGUGAAACAGCUGUGUACUGCCUUUUGUUCCUGGAGAAGGUAUUUAACUGAGAGCCAUGCUAGGCUCAGGGAGACUCUGCUGACCGUCUGUCCCGCGGUCAUGCAGGGACUUCAUCAAGCCUGGUUGUCUGUUCUUUGUGUGUUUCGACUCACUUCAGUUUGCUUACCGGACUAAUCGUUCCACAGACGAUGCCAUAUCUCACCUGCUCCACACAUCCCUGAGUCACCUGGACACUGGCAGAGGGAAU
ensembl:lncRNA